GAACGCUGGCGGCAGGCCUAACACAUGCAAGUCGAGCGGUAACAGGGGGUGCUUGCACCCCGCUGACGAGCGGCGGACGGGUGAGUAAUGCAUAGGAAUCUGCCCGAUAGUGGGGGAUAACCUGGGGAAACCCAGGCUAAUACCGCAUACGUCCUACGGGAGAAAGGGGGCUCCGGCUCCCGCUAUGGGAUGAGCCUAUGUCGGAUUAGCUAGUUGGUGAGGUAACGGCUCACCAAGGCCACGAUCCGUAGCUGGUCUGAGAGGAUGAUCAGCCACAUCGGGACUGAGACACGGCCCGAACUCCUACGGGAGGCAGCAGUGGGGAAUAUUGGACAAUGGGGGCAACCCUGAUCCAGCCAUGCCGCGUGUGUGAAGAAGGCCCUCGGGUUGUAAAGCACUUUCAGCGAGGAAGAACGCCUAGCGGUUAAUACCCGCUAGGAAAGACAUCACUCGCAGAAGAAGCACCGGCUAACUCCGUGCCAGCAGCCGCGGUAAUACGGAGGGUGCAAGCGUUAAUCGGAAUUACUGGGCGUAAAGCGCGCGUAGGUGGCUUGAUAAGCCGGUUGUGAAAGCCCCGGGCUCAACCUGGGAACGGCAUCCGGAACUGUCAAGCUAGAGUGCAGGAGAGGAAGGUAGAAUUCCCGGUGUAGCGGUGAAAUGCGUAGAGAUCGGGAGGAAUACCAGUGGCGAAGGCGGCCUUCUGGACUGACACUGACACUGAGGUGCGAAAGCGUGGGUAGCAAACAGGAUUAGAUACCCUGGUAGUCCACGCC
rnacentral:rRNA from 1 species